UAAAUAUAUAUUUACUAAUUUUAAUUUUUGUUUUAUUUGAGAAGUAUCUUUGUUUUUAGUAUUUUAUUGAAAAAUUCAUUUUUGUAAUAGUGAACUAGUACUGUGAAGUAACAUUGAAAUAUUUUGAAAGUUUAUUUUUAUAAAAGCAUACUUUUUGUAGUACCUUUUGUAUCAGGGAUGAUUAAUUAUAUUUAAUGUAUAUUGAAA
rnacentral:rRNA from 1 species